UACGUAGGGGGCAAGCGUUGUCCGGAAUCAUUGGGCGUAAAGAGCGUGUAGGCGGCCCGAUAAGUCCGCCGUGAAAGUCCAGGGCUCAACCCUGGAAUGCCGGUGGAAACUGUCGGGCUGGAGUCCGGAAGAGGCGAGUGGAAUUCCUGGUGUAGCGGUGGAAUGCGCAGAUAUCAGGAGGAACACCAAUAGCGAAGGCAGCUCGCUGGGACGGUACUGACGCUGGAGGUGCGAAAGCGUGGGGAGCAAACAGG
rnacentral:rRNA from 1 species